UGUAUAAUAUGAACACGCACCGAUAACAUGCUAAUUAAGACUAUUAUGUAAGACCAAAAAAGGAAGCAGAAGUUAUGUAAUCAGCAUAAACCGAAGGUAAAGAGGGAGACCUCGGAUAUAAAUGCUUCGAUUUCAGGCUUUGAAAGGUCCUUGUAAAGAGCUUCAGUGAUCUCCUUCUCUUUUUCUUCAAGCAUCUUUGCAAUAUUCUCCAACUGCAACCUUCUCCACUCAUAGCUUUUCGUCCUUCCCGAAUUGAAACUCUUUCGCAGCUCCUUAACUAGAAGACCAGCUUUUUCCGGAUUGAAUGUUUGCUUUGCUUCUUCAACCUCCGCGGUUACAGCCGACAGAGUUGCAGAACAAGGUUUAGUGCUAAAAACAGAACAAACAAGAAUCAGAUACUACACAUACAUACAUACAAUUUCGACGAAACUAAUAAAUGCAUGUUCCCUUGAUUUUUAUGGAAGAAAAAAGGGAAAAAGAGAAGUCGACUUACGAGUAGGAAGAGCAUGUAAGUUUGGAGGAAGAGAAAUGCUUCUGGUUUUGAUAGUUGCUUCUUCUUCUCUGAAACGGGUGAAUGAAAGCUCUGCUGCUCCGAGUCCCAGUCCCUAUCCCAGCAGUACCCGCCAAACCCAAACUGGUUUGGUACCAUCCCACUAUAAUUAGUUAAAUAAACAGAGCAUAUAUGUUGACAUAAAAAGAGUAUAAGAAGGGCAGGUAGUACCUGUAAUUCUUAAAAAGAUCAAUGCAGAGGCCUUUCAUGGUUGAUCAGAGAGAGAGAGAGAGAGAGAGAGAGAGAGAGAGAGAGAGAGAGAUUGAAGGCACUUCUGCUAACUACUGCAGUCUGCAGAUGGAAGUGUUGAAAGCAUCAUCAAGUUGCAUUUGCAUUGGCAUAUAGAAAUAGAAACAGGAGGAGGACCGCUCCGGAGGUAGGUACCUAGUACAACUUACAAGGGACCAGCAAGGUGGGUCUCUAAACAGAAGCCAAGGGUACAAGAUUAAGGGGUGGUUUGGGAGUGAGGUGCUUAAAAAAAAAACACCCAUGAAAAAAAGUUGUGAGGGUUUUAGGUGUUUGGUAAACUGAAAAAAAAGGCUUAUUUUGGAAGCUCCUGUGAGAAUAAGCUAAAAUCAAAGAAAAAAGCUGAAGCUGUUAUUUGUAGCUUUGGAAAACUGGUUUUUUUUCAAAGCACACGGAGCUACAGUGCUCCUUUAAUGAAAAGACCCACUAUCAGACUGCUUUUUUUUUUCAAAAGCACUUUUACAAAAAAGUUUACCAAACACUGUGCUGAUUUUUUUCACAGCCGCUUAUUCUCACAGCAGCUUUUUUUCAAAGCACAGCAAUACCAAACCAGCCCUAAAACUAGAAAAACUUUCUCUGCCUCUCAUCUUAAAAGACAAGGGGAUAAGGUUUAGCAAACAUUAUUGGUGGGGUGCGAUAUGUAAACUCACAGGCGCAAUCUGGCUCCAAAAUGUGUCUUCCACUAACUUUCUGUUUGAAUAAGAAAAAUGACCUCGAAAUUGAAAAAAAGUCAGAAUUUGUAAAUUAACAUGUAUCAAUUCUUUUACUUUGAUCAUGAACAUACAAAUUUAAAAUUUUUUUGUAGAAUAAAACUCAUAAUUUGAGACCUCUAAUUCUUAAAUUAAAUAGUUAUCAUUUCUGAAUUUUCAUGAGUAAAAAUGUGGUAACCAAAUUUCCCAUGAUCAAAAGGAGACAUCAUGUGUACCAAAGCGAACCUAGUUGAAUGCAAGAUUACUGUAGGGCUUCGCCAAUACUUAACACUCACGUGGAUUGAGUAUUAAAUGCGAGAUGGGAUGUCUCCGUGUAAAUCACGCCUAAUAGAGGUGACAACUGCCAUUGUGGGGAACCGCUGAGCUUGAGGCUGAGUCUCCUGAGCAAAUCACACGAGCUGUUGACUUUUGAUCUAAUGGUUACAAUUAUUAUAACUUUUGGAAAAGCUUCAUGUUUAUAGCCGUUGAAAUUAAAAUCUAAUGGCCCGUAUGAUUUGCUUAGAAGGCUCAGCCUCCUAAACUCAGGAGAUGAUCUAUUCCCACCAUAGUAGGCACCACACCUCAUGAGAUGGACUCACGUAAAUCGAUACGACGGACCACUCCCACUUAGCAUAGUUGGUGAGCUCAUCGGGCCAAGGAAGACUGUGCAAGCCUAGAAGGGCUCGCAUAUGAGACCAACCCAGAAAUGCCUGAUAAGGUAAUAUUCAACAAAACCUUUAAGAGAUAAUAGUUAAUCAUGGCUCCUACAUAGCCAUGGUCAGUAGUACUGUUAAGAGUCACUCCCGAACAUGACUCUUGAUUGGCGCCUGUUUGUAUCUGAUGUUACAUUAGUGGUCCGUGCAAUCAAGAUUAUUGAAUGUGUAGAGUUUUAGACCGUUGAAUGAAAAGUUAAGAUAAUAUUAUUAUUGUUGAGAGAUCAUAAUAUUAUCUUUUAAAGCCAAAAUGAUCCUUAAGAUUUGCAUAAUACAUUCAUUUAGUUUCUGAGAUUGAAAAUCAAUAGAAAUGGUCCCUGAGAUUGUCUACCAUCAAUUAUUUUGGUCAUUCCGUUAAAAACUCUGUUAGGUGUCACAUAAUUCUUGGCUGGAAGUUUGGGCAAUUUUCAAAACUUCGUAACUUAAUCGUUUCUUAACAAAAUUUGAUCCAUAAUAUAUCAAAGGGAAAAGCUCUCGGUACUAUUCACUUUAAUGAAAAACCACAUUAUUAAAACUAUUUGGAAACCCAAUGGUUGCCGGAGAUGACAGAAAAAUAGCCUGAGAGAUGACUGGUCCGCGAAAAAACUGAAAACUCAUUAGAAACUGGAUAAACUUUAAAUAUUCAUAACUUAUUCAAUACUCAAUGAAAUCGAGUGAUUUAAAAAACAAAAAUUAUACUUCUCGACGAGAUAAAGAGAAUUGUACCUUUUUCGACAGUUAAAUCAUCGUCAUUUAGCCAGAAAACAGCUCGAACAUAGCUAUCUUGAUCUCAAGUUAAACACUUUACAAAUUACUUCGUGGUAAAAAGUAACCCCGUUUCUGGAAGAUAAGAAAGAGUUAAGACGGAAAGAGUGAGGAAGGUUAAAGGCAAGAUGCUGACACCAAAGCUGGUACGCUCUCUUGUGUUUGGAGAAACCAUCAACAACCUCUCCUUCUUCCCCUACAUCACCACGACGACGACGACGACGACAAUGGCAGUCACAAACAAACGGGCGGCGGAGGAAGAAGCAGAGACAGCAGCAAAUCGAGAAUCCCAUUUCUCCUAUUCCUCCCAACCAAAGAGAUCGUCACUGACACUUACAGACUUGCCACCAUAGCCAGAGACAUGGGCAUGGACUUGCAUCCAACCCCAUCUCUCUCCCACAUCAUUCUCUCCUUCCCGCCUCCGCUACCGUCCUCCUCCUCAUCUCCCUCUACAGCAUCACCGUCCUCAUUUCCAUCGUCGUGGUCCUCAUCGUCGCUGUCGUCAACGUCUUCACCCGACGACGCGGUUCCCCUCCCCUUCCCCUGUCUCUCCGCCGCCCCAAUUUCCCAUGUUCGCGCAUUUGUCAAGCUCUCCAAAGGCCUUUUCAAGCUGGUUUUUGUGCGCUCCGAUUGCAAACCCAGUGAUGCAAAUAGCGUUGGCGGUCAAAGCAAUUGGAAUUGCAGCUCAAUGUCGCUGCUUUUGCGGCUCACCGGUGACAGAAUUGAUACAAUGGAAGGGUUUUCCCGGGCUUUGGCGGGACUGGGAUGGACCCAUUUCAAGACCAAGGAAAACCCAGCAACGGAUUCGAGGGACAGGAGACAUUAUCAGUGAUUCUAUGCUAAGAUAUUAUCAGUGAAUCAUAUAUCUUUUUGGAGUUUUCUAGCCAAUGCAAAAUGUAUGCCAACCGUUGCCUUGAAUUGGAUUGUUUAGGUGUUUUUUGUUCAUAGUUUAGGUGUUCUUUGUUUUUUGGAAGUAAGAUUGACUUGAUUCUAGUUCAUAGUUUAAGGAUGACAAUGGUUAAAUCAUAGUUUUGGGAACAAAUUGGCAUGAGACUAAAGUUGAAACGGCUUAUUUUAUAAUUUUCUAUUUCGUUUAUCCUGAGAUUUGAAAUAUCAUGACUGUGCUUAUUGUUUCUAGUACCAUGGCUCUUUAGAUGACUCUUGAGCCUGUGGAUGCACAGUACCAAAAAAAAAAAAAAAAAAAACUAUGGCAAAGGGAAGAUGAAGAAAAACGUAUGCUUGCUCACGCGAUGUCUCUGGGGUGAACUGUUUGCAGCCGUAAGAAUCAGUCGAACAAUUGUAACUAGUUUACAACUUGAAGAACUUAAACCGAAUGAAAAUGAAAACCCACGAGAGUUGUUUAGGAAAAUGGCCAUGUUUGGCAAAAGAAUACAAAAAUAACCCAUCAGAGAAGUUCUAUCUUUUUCAUUUUUCUUAUUUUUCUCUCUUUGCUGCACUGGAUUGGCUAGAUUUUCAUAGCCAUCUCCUUCCCUCAUCUUACUUUCUCUCACUAACUCUUUAUCUCUCUUUCUAGGGAUGUUCGUGGCAGCUUGACCCUUCCUCUCUAUGAAGGGUUACCAAAACUGGGGCCAAAAUAUUUGAACUCUCGCUCUAUGCGGAUGUGGGUAAUCCAAACAUGAUGACAUGUUAUUGCCAAACGAAUAUGAAGUUCACAUUUUAUAUUACAAAGAAACCCAACGUAUCAUAAAAAUUAACAAAUUGUUAGACUCUGAAGUACAACAUGUUGAUGUCUAUGUCUUCCAGAAGCCUACGCUGAGGAGGAAACUUGGGCAAGCAAUUCGCAAUGCUUGUAGCGGUAGCGAGCAGCUUAUUGUUUCUGUCUUUAGAUGACAUUCCCUGUGUAGCAUUGUCCCCAUGGGUGGGCAAACUAACGACAUCGAAGUUGAAGUUGGUCUUCCCAAUUAGGUCUUGAAGUGCCUUCUGAUCGCAAGUCCAACUUCCACUUAUCAAACUGAAGUUAUAUAGGGGAAGAAAACGUUGUCCAUAUGUAGCUAGGAACUCCAGCGCAGCUAAAAUGAACUCCAGUUCAUCGUUUGACAUGUAGUAGGGAAAGCUGAUUCUAGUCCACCCUGGUUUCACUCCAAGAUAGUCCUGUACAUAAAUUUUUUUAGAACCAUUAGUAAUCUUAAACUCUCCGUUAAACGUUGAACAUUCUAAGAAAAGGUUUCGUUUCGGACUGUAUGACACCAUAAGUAAAUCUUAUGUUUGCCGAAUUGGGUAUUUUGACCAUACAUCAGGAUGUGCAAUUUAGAUUUACAAUCUAUCGCCAUAAGUCUGGCAAGAGAACAUUACCCGAGCGUGGAAAACUUAGCGUGGUAGGAGAAGUUGAAGAUGAAUUGGAUUAGGAAUUACCUUCUGAAUGGAAGAUCUAUAGGCAUGUGAAACAGUGUGAUCAAUUUUGAGGAGCUUGUGACCAUAGGGUCCAGCACAAGCGCAGCCGCCUCGAGCCUGAAUACCGAAUAGAUCAUUGAGCAGAGCUGCGACGAAACCCCCAUGAAGUGGCUUGCCUCUGCUGUUUCCCGUCUCUCCCCACAUGUAGAGCCCUUGGUCAGCUCCCUCUCUGCCAAUAUCUGUUUUCGUGGCAGCCGUUGAUGAGCAAUUGGUCGUAGAAUAAACGAGGAAGGACAAAAUGGCUAGUCUUUUGGCGGUCGUAUUUCCUAAAAUCCAUAUGUUUUGGUUAGGGAGAAGCCUCUCUAGUGCCCUUUUAACAUGGAGUUGCUCUUGCUUUUCAAUGAUUUGAUAACCAAUGUAUUCCUUCACCCAGAAAGCCAAGGCUGCUCUAAUUGUUUGGAUGAUUUGAGGAGUACCGCCGUUUUCCCUCUCUUCUAUGUCCUCGCAGUACACUGUGUCCUGCAUUUGUCACAUAAUAUAUGAACUUGCACAUAUAAUAAAACUACAACAUAUGUGAUGUUAGUUGCCAUUAAACCGCUCCGUUAGAGAAAAUCUCGAGUUCAAAUCUCAUGCCCUUUAAUUUGAAUGGUCACAUAAAUGAUAGAAUUGGUUUAAUAAAUGCCUGAACACAACAUUUCUUUUUUAAUUUUUGUUAAUAAUGAUUGUCAUUGAUAAUGUAUGAAUGUAAUAUUAAGAGAAAAUUGGAAUAUUGGUUUUUGAAUUUUAACCUAAUUGGACUGUGAGUAUUAAGACUUGAACUUGUUACAAUGUGGAGCGAUGAUCUCUUCCGGUAACUCUGUUCGAACUCAUGUUCUUAGUUUUUCCUUUUAACCUUUUAUUUUAGAUGAAAAUUCUAAUGGUGUUACCUAGGAGGACUGUUGCUACAUGAAUCAAUGCUCCAAUUAUCAGUAACAUUAAUUAAGACAUAGCUGUAAAUUAAUGACAUAAUGAAAAAUUAAACAAUCAUAAAGCAGCAGAAGGACAUUGCUUUGUUUGUGUGGUGCCAAGAUGACCAAGUCAGAUGCUAUGAAUCUAGAACCAGAUCACAUGAUUUUCGUUAUUAAUUGACAAUUAAUUUAAUCCUAACUUUUGGCAAAACCAAAAAUUAGUACUUGGAUUAAGGAAUACCUCAGGAUUGAAGCCAUUGACGUAAGCAACAGUCCCACCUCCACAAGUUGAUGGGGGAAAAGACUUGAGCCGAUACAGUGCCUUGCUCAUCACAAGUAUGCCUGGGGUUCCGGGCCCACCUACAAACUUGUGUGGGCUCAGGAAAAUACCAUCGUACCCGUCUAUCUGUCCACUCCUCAUCUCAAUUUCCACAUACGGCCCACUGUAUUUUGUCGCACACCGAAUCAAUACCAACACGAGAAAAACUCAGUUUAAUUAAAUAACAACAGGUAUCAGUAUACCAACAUCGCUUGUAUACGAACAAAAUUAAUUUAAUUAAUUCGACCACUUUUUUUGUACAAUUUAAUUUAACCAAUUUUUUUUUUCAAUUUAAUUAAUUAAGAACAAAAUUAAUUCAAUUAAUUUGACCAAUUUUUUGUUUAAUUUAAUUAAAUAAGAACAAGUAGCAGUUUACCAAACUAGUUGAUAAAAAAUCAUAAAAAUAAAAAAAUUUGCAGUUUUUAGUUGGAAUGUCCAAAGGUUCUACUUGCAUUUGACUUUAUAUUUUUAACAAAGGCAUUGAGGUUCUUCUGCGAUCGAUUCAUCUCUCCUGAUAUGGCUUGUAUGCAAAAACAAGAUGAAAGAAAACGAGUGGUGGGGUGUAGUCGGUUUACCUUGCUGCGAAAUCAAAGCAUGCAAAGCCGCCAUAUUGAUGAAGAAGUCGAGCGAUUGCUCGUGUAUCCGAAUAAAUUCCGGUCACAUUGCUACAAGCCGAGAAGGAACCCAAAAUCGGGCGGUUGGAGUACUUGUAUGACUCGAGUUGUAGUCUAAGAGCCUCCAUGUCCAACAAGCCAUCCUCGUCCAGACCGAUCUCGAUCACUUGAGCUAAGCUUUGCCGCCACGAGAGGAGGUUCGAGUGGUGCUCGUAAGGGCCGACGAAAACCAACCACCUCUCUUCCAUGUAAGUCUCAUGAGAGCUGCACACUUGUUAAUACAUGUAUCUAAGGUUUGAGGUUAUAGAGUUCGAGUAUGACUUUGUUUGUAAGCUACCAAAAGGUGUGUACGAUAAGGAAUGUAGCUAAACAAUCCUGAUAAACUAUACUACUGUUAUAUUAUCUGAUAUGGAUACUUGGGAUUGCAUGAUAAGGUUGAGUUCAAUUAGGACUAACAUUAUGGGAAGUCUCCUAGUUGAAACACCAUUGCAUAAGGUUAAAAAUAUAGGGUCCCUGCACUCUCAAUUGACACGCAAUAAAAGAGCCUCACGCCCCAUAGUAUUGAGCCAUUGCAUUCUGAGAUUGACGAGUUGCAGAAGAAGCCUAUCUCGAUCGCAUUCUAGCCGACAUGGUUUCUACAGGUUAGUGGUUAUUUGGUUUUAGUGAAUCAGUUAUGUAUUAAACUAAUCUUACAUUUGGUAUCAGAGCUUUUCACAUACCAAUUAACCCUAAGAUGAAAGCAUCAAGAACAAUCUUCUUUUACUGCAGAUUAUGGACUGCUGACAAGUUAUCAGGGAAUUCAUGUAUUGAGCAUAUAUCAGCUAAAGCUGUUUGUGUUCAUAUGCAUGUCUUAAAAAACUUGGACAUCAGUAGUUGCACUNUCUGUCCACUCCUCAUCUCAUUUCCACAUACGGCCCACUGUAUUUUGUCGCACACCGAAUCAAUACCAACACGAGAAAAACUCAGUUUAAUUAAAUAACAACAGGUAUCAGUAUACCAACAUCGCUUGUAUACGAACAAAAUUAAUUUAAUUAAUUCGACCACUUUUUUUGUACAAUUUAAUUUAACCAAUUUUUUUUUUCAAUUUAAUUAAUUAAGAACAAAAUUAAUUCAAUUAAUUUGACCAAUUUUUUGUUUAAUUUAAUUAAAUAAGAACAAGUAGCAGUUUACCAAACUAGUUGAUAAAAAAUCAUAAAAAUAAAAAAAUUUGCAGUUUUUAGUUGGAAUGUCCAAAGGUUCUACUUGCAUUUGACUUUAUAUUUUUAACAAAGGCAUUGAGGUUCUUCUGCGAUCGAUUCAUCUCUCCUGAUAUGGCUUGUAUGCAAAAACAAGAUGAAAGAAAACGAGUGGUGGGGUGUAGUCGGUUUUACCUUGCUGCGAAAUCAAAGCAUGCAAAGCCGCCAUAUUGAUGAAGAAGUCGAGCGAUUGCUCGUGUAUCCGAAUAAAUUCCGGUCACAUUGCUACAAGCCGAGAAGGAACCCAAAAUCGGGCGGUUGGAGUACUUGUAUGACUCGAGUUGUAGUCUAAGAGCCUCCAUGUCCAACAAAGCCAUCCUCGUCCAGACCGAUCUCGAUCACUUGAGCUAAGCUUUGCCGCCACGAGAGGAGGUUCGAGUGGUGCUCGUAAGGGCCGACGAAAACCAACCACCUCUCUUCCAUGUAAGUCUCAUGAGAGCUGCACACUUGUUAAUACAUGUAUCUAAGGUUUGAGGUUAUAGAGUUCGAGUAUAUGACUUUGUUUGUAAAGCUACCAAAAAGGUGUGUACGAUAAGGAAUGUAGCUAAACAAUCCUGAUAAACUAUACUACUGUUAUAUUAUCUGAUAUGGAUACUUGGGAUUGCAUGAUAAGGUUGAGUUCAAUUAGGACUAACAUUAUGGGAAGUCUCCUAGUUGAACACCAUUGCAUAAGGUAUAAAUAUAGGGUCCCUGCACUCUCAAUUGACACGCAAUAAAAGAGCCUCACGCCCCAUAGUAUUGAGCCAUUGCAUUCUGAGAUUGACGAGUUGCAGAAGAAGAGCCUAUCUCGAUCGCAUUCUAGCCGACAUGGUUUCUACAGGUUAGUGGUUUUAUUUGGUUUUAGUGAAUCAGUAUAUGUAUUAAACUAAUCUUACAUUUGGUAUCAGAGCUUUCACAUACCAAUUAACCCUAAGAUGAAAGCAUCAAGAACAAUUUUUUACUGCAGAUUAUGGACUGAUGACAGGUUAUCAGGGAAUUCAUGUAUUAAGCAUAUAUCAGCUAAAGCUGUUUGUGUUCAAAUGCAUAUCUUCAAAAACUUGGACAUCAGUAGUUGCACUAGAGUUUGAUAUGUAAACACUAAUCAUCUAAAGAUGAUCCGUUGUUUAUAUAUCAAAUUCUAAGUGGCAGAAUGCUUCAUUAAAACCAUGAAUGAGCACCGACAUGACCACAAAACCACAAAGGUUUAUAGUCAUGAUCAAAGUCAGGUUCGUUCAUGGGAUAUGUUGGCAUUGUGAUAAAGAAAAUUGUUCAUAAAUUUUAACAUUCAAAGAUGUUGAAACUGUGACAUAUGGAUAUGGGACUAAAGUUUAAUUUCUUUGCAUAUUGCGGUUUUAAAGGUGUCAAUCCAAGCUCCAUGAAUCUCAAUACCAUUGAGCCACUGACUGGAAUGAAUUAUAAGAAGUGGAAGCAAGACCUUGAGAUUGUUCUUGGGGUGAUGGAUAUGGAUUUGGCACUAAGGAGUGAUGAACCACUGCUGCCCGAUGAAGGAUGCACAUCAAGUCAAAGGUCUAAGCAUGAGAAAUGGCAGAAAGCAAACAGAAUCUCUCUCAUGAUUAUCAGAAGGACCAUGACUGAUGUUGUGCGCGGGGGUUUCCCAGAAACAUCCAAAGCCAAGGAUCUUAUGAAAUCCAUUGAAGAAAAAUACAAGGAGUCCGAGAAGACCGAGACAGGUAACAUGAUGAAUUCUCUCACCACUAUUAGAUAUGAUGGAGUUGAAAGUGUUCGGGAAUAUAUUCUCAAAGUGGUGGACAUUGCUGGAAAAUUGAAGAUGCUUGAGGUACCAAUUUCUGAGACCUUUUUGGUUCAUGUAGUUAUGAAUUCUCUACCUGAAAGUUACACUCAGUUAAAAGUCUCAUAUAAUGCACUGCAAGCUAAGUGGGACAUCAAUGAAUUGAUUUCCAUAUGUGUGGGUGAGGAAGUCAGAAUUAAGAAAGAAAGGGCUGAGAAAGAAAGGCUGAAUCAGUGAAUUAUGUCCAAAGCUACAACCAAAACCCCAAGCAUGGUAACCAUGAUACUGUCAGAAAAGAUGCUACCAGAAGUGCUUCCUCCUCUAAGAAAGUUUUUAAACCUAACAAACCAAGUAUUUUCAAAUGUUCUGCAAAAAGGCAGGCCACAUGAAGAAAAAUUGUCCAAAAUACAAAGCUUGGCUUGCCAAGCAAGAAGUGAAAAAAGGUAAAAAUGUUUUCGUUUGUUUUGAGUCUAAUUCAGUUGACAUACCUAGUAAUGCAUGGUGGCUUGACUCUGGCUCUUCUAUUCAUGUUACGAAUUCAUUGCAGGACUUCACAAUAAGGAGAACACCAAAUAAAGAUGAAGUGAAGGUCUUGGUGGGCAAUGGAAGAAGGGUUGAAGUCAAAGCCUUAGGAACUGUUAGACUUAAGUUAGAAUUUGGUUUUCAUCUGGAUUUGGAAAAUGUUGCUUAUGUACCUUCCAUGAGGAGGAAAUUAGUAUCGGUUUCAAAACUUGUUUUGCUAGGUUAUUAUUUUACAUUAAAUAAAAUUGGCUUCAAACAUCUUUUACAAUUCUUCUCACAUUGGCACUGGUUCUAUAUGUGACGGGAUGUUUCAGUUCAAAUUAAGAGUUGAAAACGUGAUUUUUAAUGUUGAAAAGAAUCAUGAAAAACCACAACAGUCAUCCCAUCUUUGGCAUAAAAGACUCGGACAUGUUUCAAAACCGAGAAUGGAACUUUUGAUCAAAAGUGAAAUUUUACCACCCUUGAAUUUUAAUGAUUUCGAACUUUGUAUAGAAUGCAUCAAGGGAAAAAUGACUAAUUCAAGAAAAGAAGGAUCGACUAGAAGCAAACAACUUUUAGAGAUCAUUCAUACAGAUAUUUGUGGCCCCUUUCCUACAAAAACAAUCGAUGGAAACAAGUACUUUAUAACAUUUAUAGAUGAUUUUUCACGUUUCUGUUUUAUAUAUUUAAUCCCUGAGAAGUCAAAAGCUCUUGAAGUCUUUAAAUUUUUAAAACUGAAACUGAAAACCAAUUGGAAAGGAAGAUCAAAGUGGUUAGGUCUGAUAAAGGAGGUGAGUACUAUGGUAAGCAGAGUCAAACUGGCAGGCAACCAGGACCAUUUGCAUUGUAUCUUCAAGAUCAUGGCAUUGUAGCACAGUAUACCACUCCUGGUACACCUGAGCAGAAUGGAGUCUCUGAGAGAAGAAACAGAACCCUUAUGGACAUGGUUAGAAGCAUGAUGUGCAAGGUGAACUUGCCAAAUUUUUUGUGGGGAGAAGCAGUCAAGACUGCUAACUACAUUAUUAACAGAGUGCCAUCCAAAGCAGUUGUGAAUACACCUUUUGAAUUGUGGACAGGUAGGCGACCUAGCUUUAAUCAUUUACAUAUCUGGGGAUGCAAGGCUGAAGCUAAGGUUUACAACCCUAAUGGCAAGAAGCUCGAUCCUAAGACACUCUCUUGUUAUUUCGUGGGAUAUGCUGAGAGGUCUAAAGGUUUUAGGUUUUAUUGUCCCAAUCAUGACAUGAAAAUUGUUGAGACUGGCAAAGCAAUAUUUAUGGAACUAGGGAUGGAUGCUGAAAACUGUUCGAGGACAGAAGAAUUUGUUUUUGAAGAACAAGGAGAUAUAUGGGCUGAAUAUGACCAACAACAAACUGUACCCAAGUCAGUGGUUGAACUUCCAAAUCACGUGGACCAUAGCAUGGGAAAUGAUGAUUAUUUAAUUCAACAUGGCAGCAACCACGCACUAGUGAAUGGUAAUGAAAUUGAGGCAUUAUUAAAUGAGGAACAACAUGAAGAGAAUGAGGAAGGGCACGUGGAAAAUGCAGCUGUAAAUAGCAGCCAUGUGAACCGACAAGAGCACCGACAAGAGCACCGUCAAGAGCACCGACUGGAGCACCGACUAGAGCAGCAUGCAAAUGUUUAUGGAGAGCACGUGGAGAUGGUUGAGGUGAAUGGCAAUGAACACCGACACGAUGGUAUAGGUAUUGGUGAGGUUGCACCGCUUGUGAGGAAAUCGGGUAGGGUAAGAAAAUCCACUUUAUGUUCAGAUUUUGUAUAUAUGGCAGAAUUAGACUUUAAUAUGUCAGAGUUUAAUGAUCCUGGGAGUUACAAAGAAGCAACCUCAAACAUUCAUGCAGAUAAGUGGAUGGAUGCAAUGAGGAGUGAGUUGUCCUCGAUGGAGGAAAACAAAGUUUGGAGCUUGGUAGAGUUAAAAGAAGGAAUAAAACCCAUAGGUUGUAAAUGGGUUUUUAAAACCAAAAGAGACUCAAAUGGAAAUGUGGAAAGACACAAAGCAAGGCUUGUUGCCAAGGGUUUUACACAGAAAGAGGGCAUUGACUACAAAGAAACAUUUAGUCCAGUGUCUACUAAAGAUGCAUUCAGAGUCAUCAUGGCAAUGGUAGCACACUAUGAUUUUGUUUUUACAUCAAAUGGAUGUAAAAACAGCCUUCUUAAAUGGUGAAUUAGAGGAGGAUAUUUAUAUGGUACAACCUGAGGGCUUCAAAGAAGAAGGGAAGGAAAAUAUGGUAUGUAAACUGAAUAAAUCAAUUUACGGUUUAAAACAGGCAUCUAGGCAGUGGUAUUUGAAGUUUCAUCAUGUUGUUAAGGAGCAUGGGUUUACAGAGAAAAUCCAUCUGAUGCUUGUAUAUAUUUGAAAGUCAGUGGGAGCACUUAUAUCAUAUUAGUGCUCUAAGUGGACGGUAUUUUGUUAGUAGAAAAUUGUUCUAGCCUAUUGGAUGAAACUAAGUCUUUCUUGCAGUGCAAGUUUGAAAUGAAAGAUUUAGGUGAAGCUUCGUAUGUCUUGGGAAUUGAAAUCAAAAAGAGAUAGAGAGAGAGGACUCCUGGGACUAUCGCAGAAAGGGUACAUAGAGAAAGUGUUAAAAAGAUUCAAUAUGGCAUCAUGUGGAACCACAGAAAUGCCAAUUUCGAAGGGUGAUAAACUGAGCAAAGAACAAAGUCCAAGAAACGAGAUUGAAAGGGAGAACAUGAAGGACAAACCAUAUGCUUCAUUAGUGGGAAGUUUGAUGUAUGUUCAGGUCUGUACAAGGCCUGACCUUGCAUUUACCAUUAGUGUUCUAGGGAGAUUUCAGUCCAACCCUGGAGAAGCACAUUGGAAUGCAGGGAAAAGGGUUAUGAGAUACCUUCAAAGAACUAAAUCUCACAUGCUCAUUUACAAGAAAACUGAACGUUUGGUUUUGGAAGGUUAUAGUGAUGCUGACUUUGCAGGAUGUCCUGAUGAUUUAAAAUCAACUUCGGGUUUUGUCUUCACUAUGGCAGGAGGAGCUGUGUCGUGGAAAAGUUCUAAACAAGAUAUAGUUGCAGCCUCAACUAUGGUUGCUGAGUACUUGUCAUGUUGUGAAACAGUCAAUCAGGCAAUAUGGAUGAAAAAUUUUAUUACAGGAUUGAGAGUGGUAGACUCAAUUCAAAUGCCUAUUCAGAUAUUCUGUGAUAACAAUGCAGCCAUCUUUUUCUCUAAGAACAACAAAAGGUCAACUGCAACAAGGAAUUUGGAGAUUAAAUAUCUCAUUGCUCGAGAAAAGGUAAUGGCAGGACUUGUUAAGAUUGAUUACUUGGCAACUGGUUCUAUGAUUGCAGAUCCUUUGAAUAAGCCGGUGCCAGCUGCAGUGUUCAAAGGGCAUGUUGCUAAAAUGGGUGUGCUAGCAGGUUUUGAAGCUGUGGAAUAGUGGGAGUCGUGUUUGUUCAAUUUGUUAAGUUCUAAUUUAGCAUGUUUAGAUUUAUGCAUUGAGAAUAAGGUUAUAUUUAUAACUAAUAAAGAUGUUGCUGUUGGUUGUUCAAAGUUCCCUUAAAGCAUACAGCAUUAGUUAUAAUGAUAUGUUUUAAUACAUGAAUAUCAAUCUGAGUUAUUGUUUAAAGAUUAACAACCAUUGAGGUUUCUUAUGAAGCAUGAAGAAAGCCUACGUUGGUAGUCAUAAGGAGGACCACAUGUCAAAUGUGUUUAAAUAUAUAUGUACAGUCACAUUUACAUAUUUCCAUGUCUUGUUGGAGUUUCAUGUAUGGUAAGGUUUCAUGAAGUGAUUAUGGGGAUGCUGUUCUGGAGAUGAGCAUAUAAUUCCUUAUAGUUCUUUAUGAAUACUCUGCAAUGACAGAAACUGGAUUUUCAGGUUUAUGUUCAACUCUAAACUCAUGGCCACUUAAGUAUAAUCUCUCUUCAGUAUUACUAUGAUUAACAAGUGUUGGCUCUAGUGGGAGAAUGUAAGUCUCAUGAGAGCUGCACACUUGUUAAUACAUGUAUCUAAGGUUUGAGGUUAUAGAGUUCGAGUAUGACUUUGUUUGUAAGCUACCAAAAGGUGUGUACGAUAAGGAAUGUAGCUAAACAAUCCUGAUAAACUAUACUACUGUUAUAUUAUCUGAUAUGGAUACUUGGGAUUGCAUGAUAAGGUUGAGUUCAAUUAGGACUAACAUUAUGGGAAGUCUCCUAGUUGAACACCAUUGCAUAAGGUAUAAAUAUAGGGUCCCUGCACUCUCAAUUGACACGCAAUAAAAGAGCCUCACGCCCCAUAGUAUUGAGCCAUUGCAUUCUGAGAUUGACGAGUUGCAGAAGAAGCCUAUCUCGAUCGCAUUCUAGCCGACAUGGUUUCUACAGGUUAGUGGUUAUUUGGUUUUAGUGAAUCAGUUAUGUAUUAAACUAAUCUUACAUUCCAUGCCUAUUAAAUCACUGCCCAGCAUUCUAUCUCUUAGGGUUGAUGGCACGGCAAUGCCCAUCACUUCUUGGAGCCUUUUGAUUGCUGAGGUAGUGCCUUGGCCGCACAGCAAGAGUGCAUCAUCCGCUCCAACCCCUAAGCAUUUCUUCAAGUACUUGACUGCUUCUCCCACCAUUUUCGUCGUCCGGUUUCCGACGAAGCUGUCACAGGUGUGAGUAUUCCCUACAUGUCAACACACACGUUCAUUUAGUAGAUUUGUUCUUGAGAUUAACCAACUACUCGUAACAUUUGAUACAAUACAGAGUUAAUAUACGUACCGUAAAAGGGAAGGACAUUUUUGACGAUGAAGUUUUCGAUGUAGAGAAGAGAGCGUCCGGAGGCAGUGUGAUCGGCGUAGAUGAGUCUUCGUCUCCCGAAAGGAGAACUGAAUUCUGCAGCAGCACCGACGACUUGAGAGCGUAGCCAAGACAGCCUUAGCUGCUCGGACUCGCUCUUUGGCACCUCCUUCAUCCCAAGUGUUGCACAGAAUGACGAUUCUCCGCCGCGGUUGCAGUCGUCACAAGAAGCUGAUUUCGUACCAGUGCUGCUGGUGAUUGCUGUUGGGGAAGGGGAGUAUUGGGUUUCUUUUAAGAUGGGUUGGAAUAAUUUAAGAACAAGAAGAAGAAUGUGUUGGAAUUUAUGAACAAAUUCCAUAUGUAAAUUAGCAAAAGAUACACGAAAGAAAGGAUUUAUGAACAAGAAGAAGAAUGUGUUGGAACUUGGAAUCAAUGCGGCAAAUGUUGGCAUCAAAGUGGCAGCACACCACACAUAUAUAUAGACUAGCCUUUCGCACGCGCAAGGACCCUUGCGUUAAAUCAACGCAAUCUUAUUUCUCGUUGCCAGUAGUAAGAAAUUUGAGUUACCGGCUCAGCUUUUCAUUUUUUUAUUUAUAAACAAUAUUUUACACUAAAUUAUUUCUACUGCAUAAAAAAGUUAUGCGUAGAAGAAGAGUAUAUUGCACAACUUUUUAUAGAAAUAAAAAACAAUCUAACUGUUUGAACUAAAAAAUGAGGUUACAAUUUAGUACUACGGUCUUGUGGUAUUCCUCUUCACUUGAAAAUGAGAGAUCUUAGGUUCAAUUCUCGCCAAAGGCGAAUUCGAACCACAUUAUUACUAGCUUAUUAUGAGGCUAAGUCCACACACUCUUUAUUAGUGUAUAUUAAAAAAAAAAUAAAAACUUUAAUGAAAAGCGCUUGGGCUAAAUUUAUUUUAAUAAAAAAUCAUUUAACAAUUUUAUUUAAUGUAAAAGGUUUGAAAGUUAAUCAAAAAGGACAAAACCUAGAAAAGAAGCACAUGUGCAAAACCAAAAGUUGUGUUUUUUUGGUAAAUUACAUAAUACCCUUCAGCCUUCAGGUUUGAGGUCUAUUACAACCUUAUACAAUAUCUUUAAAACAUUUCACUUUCAUACCUCACGUACUAUUUUAUUUCAAAAUAAUACCUCCGUUAGAUUUUUCAUCCAUUGGUAUGUUAAAUGCUGACGUGGCUGCUACAUUUAUGCUGAUAUAGCUGUCACGUGGUAAAAAAAUAAUUUUUUAUACAUUAAAAAUAUUAUAAUAUUAACCUUAUUUUAAAAAAAUUAUAAAAAAAAAAUCCAAGCCCCGUUAUAGUUCCAUUCUAGUCACCAAAAAAGCCCCACGAAUUUGAAAGAAAACUCUUUGAAAAUCUUAUACGCCAACAUGUACCAAAUGUGAAGUACACUGCCAUAUGUUCAUCAAUUUUUUUAGCUUUUGUUUUCAUGAAACAAACUUUUCGUUUCAUAAUUUCGUACGCUCUAGUAAAUUAAUACACAGGAAAUAAACGAUCGAAUAGACACAUUGUGUUUUGUUAAAAUUAGAUAAAGGACAUCGAAAAAAACAUCUCUUAUCAGUUUUUCAUACUCAAAUUCAAAUCUAAAACCAUAACAAAACACCAAAAUUUUAUAAAAGAAAUCUAUAAAUAUGCUCUGGUUGGAAGUAUCAUUACUUUUUUUGAGGUAAAUUGUAUGAUAUAAUUGGCCUUCCAAAUUGAUCAUUAGUGGUUUUUUUUUUCAGAUCAAGAAAUAGUUCGGUUCUAGAAAACUUAGUUUUUGCACUACUUCUCUAUAAAACCUAGUUCGUUAACUGCAUGUUUUCUUCCCAUCCAGAAAUAGUGUGGAUUAUUUGGGUUGGAAUAAAUUAUGAACAAGAAGAAGAAUGUGUUGGAAUUUAUGAACAAAUUCCACAUGUAAAUUAGCAAAGAUAAUGGAAUUUAUGAACAAAUUCCACAUGUAAAUUAGCAAAGAUAAACGAAGGAUUAAUAACCUGCGGAAUAUGUUGGCAUCAAAGUGGCAUCACGUAUAUAUAUAUACACUAGCCUUUGGCACGCGCAAGGACCAUUGCGUUAAAGCAACGCAAUCUUUGGAUUGAAUUUUAUGCGGCUUCUCAUUGCCAGUAGUGAGCAAAUCUGAGUUACCGGCUUACCUUUUCAUUUUUUAUUUAUAAACAAUAUUUUACACUAAAUUAUUUCAACUGCAUAAAAUAGUUAGGCGUAGAAGAAGAGUACAUUGCGCGCUCUAGCCAACGUGACUUAGUCUACGUCUGGAGCUUUUUAUAGAAAUAAAAAACAAUCUAACUGUUUGAACUAAACAAUGAGGUUACCAUUUAGUACUACGGUCUAGUAGUAUUCCUCUUCAUUUAUAAGUAAGAGGUCUUAUGUUCAAUUCUCGCCAAAGGCAAAUUCGAACCACAUUAUUGUUAGCUUAUUGUGAUGUUAAGUUCACACAUUCUCCAUUAAUGAAGGUAAUAUGGCUUGUUUAAAAAAAAAAAAUUAAUGAAAAGAACCUGGACUAAGUUUAUUUUAAUAAAAAAUUAUCUAACAAUUUUAUUUAAUGUAAAAAACUUGAAAUUUAAUCAAAAAGACAAAAACUAAAUCCUCUAACGACAAAAACGUGUGUGUUUGUAUAUGCGACAAAAUAGUUGUACUCGUAUGUGGAAGGGGCUGUGGGUUUUGGGGGCGAAAGUGCAGUCCACAUAGUGAAAAUAUUGGAGGGGGUUGGUGGAAAUCUUUGGAUUCAAGCUCCCGGUGCUCCACUGCCACUGGAAUCUGCAACCGAUUUGAAUGGAAUAUUUAAUAGAGUUGAUGAAAAUAACUAUUGUUUUACUUUUUUACGAGUUCAAGAACCCACACCCUAAUUAGAUUAAACUUCAUGAUUCAUUGCUCUAUUUUUCAUCCAAGUUUCAGAUAAAGGCUCUCUAUCUCUCUCUCCAGAGAGUAGUUUCUUCUGAUUACAACAGUAGAUAAAUUAUUUUUAGACCUUGACUGGAUUAUCUUUACUCCCAUGCAAGUACCAGGACAAAUGACAAUUAGAAGGGUACUAAAGGAACAUCUGAUCGAUCAUGUUAGUCCCCAUAUUUUCAUUGUUUGGCUGGUGACUUGGAGUUGGAUUUAAUUAAUUCCAUAUGUUAAUUAGGAAAGAUUAACGAAAGGAAUAAUUUAUGAACAAGAAUUAAUGUGUCAUACACACAUGUAUGUGUAUAUAUAUUUAGUGGAAAGAAGUUUUGAAAUUGUUUCACCAAUGGGACCAUUGCGUUAAACUAACGCGACCUUUUCAAUUCAAUUCAAUAUUGCGCCCGUUUCUUGCCGCCGCAGUCAAAGUUCAACGCAGAUUGGAUUUUAUUUGGAUCUCAUUGCCAAUAGUAAGCAAGUCUUUUUUUGUCAAAAAUAGUAAGCAAACUUUUUUUAGUAAUGCUAUUCAUACCAUGUUUUUGUACCAUAUUUUUAUACCACCUUAGGUGUCAUCUGAUUUGAACAGCCACAUUAUUUGAAAAAUUUGCAAAACCCAAGGAAAUAAAGGAGAAAGACUCAUGGUAUAUUACAAUCAUCAUUUAAUUAACUAGUUUUUUUAAUUAUUAGUUUAUUAAAUAAUGAACUAAAUUUAAAAAUCUGAUUAAUACAAAUGAUGUAGUUGUCCACAUCAAAUGCCACCUAAAGUGGCAUGAAAAUAUGAUACAAAAAUAUGAUAUGAAUAACAUUACUCGUCUUUUUUUCCAACCGCUACGGAAGUCCCACCUCACAUGCACGCACUCUUUAUAUGUGAAGAUAUGUCUUUGCAACGAGUAGUAAAUCAAGAUACGUCUUUGCAGUUUCCCACCACACAUGCACGCACUCUUUAUAUGUUUUAUUUGGCUCUCAAACUUUUGAAGAUGUGGUGAAGGAUCUUGUCAAUCAAGAUACGUCUUUGCAGUUUCCCACCUCACAUGCAUGCACUCUUUAUAUGUUUUAUUAGUCAUAUAAAAAUAAGGUAACCCGGUAGAUGCCCAUUAUAUAUGUGCACGAGUAGUAAAAAUUACACUUACAAAUGCUCAUUAUAUAUCAUGCAUGAAAUCAUAUGAAAGAUUUUUACCUCUCAAUGAAUUGACUUUGAUCUUGAGUUGUAAAUACGAGAGGGUCCAACAUUUUACUAACUUGUGGAAUCUUCAAGGUUAGGAUAUUUUAAAAUGCACAUAAAUACAAUACAAUUCAUUAUUUCUCUUGGGAGGGUCCAACAUUUUACAAUUAGAAAGUCUCAAACUUUUGUAUACACGUAUGUAAUUCAAUGUUUUUUUCUUUUAGUAUCUGUUGGCGUCUAUUUAUAAUUAAUUUUAUAGUAUUAUAAAAUAUGUUUUGAUUCUAUCAUACAUAUAUAUAUAUUAUGUGUUUGUAUAUGCGACAAAAUAAUUGUACUCACAUGUGGAAUCUUUGGAUUCAAGCUCACGGUGCUCCACUGCCACUGGAAUCUGCAACCGAUUUGAACGGAAUAUUUAAUAGAGCUGAUGAAAAUGAUUAUUGUUUUACUUUUUUACAAGUUCAAGAACUUACACUCUAAUUAGGUUAAACUUCAUGAUUCAUUGCUCUAAUUUUUUUAGGCCAAAUUGGAUUAUUCAUCCAUGUGGUCAUAGGAAACUUGCAUGAUGACCUCCGUGGUGAAAAAACUAGGAAUUAAACCCCUGUGGUCAAGAAUGUUAGCAAAUUUAGUCCAAAAGUAAGAUUUUUGUUAAAUGACUGUUAAAAGUAUAGGUAAAACUAUAUUUUCAGUUCCAAUUGACAUUUAAAAUAAAUAAUUUUUUUAUAACAAUUAACAAAAAAAAUAAUGCUUAUUUUUUUAAAUAAAAAAUAGCGCCAAUUCAAUAUCAAUUGGAACUGAAAAUACAGUUUUACCCCAACUUUUAACAGUAAUUUAACAGAAAUCUUACUUUUGGACUAAAUUUGCUAACAUUCUAGACUACAGGGGUUUAAUUCCUAGUUUUUUCACCACGAGGGUCAUCAUGCAAGUGUCCUAUGACCACAGGGAUGAACAAUCCAAUUUAGCCAUUUUUUUAUUGUGAUUAUGAAGUGCUAUUGACAUUUCAAAACAUCACUAUCCACUCCUCCAGAGUGAAAAAAAAAAUGGACAAGAGUUAGAUGACUUUUUCUUAUUAUGACUGACAACAAUUCUUUUAAGUUUUCAUAUGAAUUAUUUUGAGUGAGUGAGAAAAUAAAUUAUGGUAAAAAAUAGACCAAGGGUUUUUUUUUUUGGGACAAUAAUAGGCCAAAGUUUAGAGGCUUUGCAUUGUAACAAAAUGAAUUACUUUCACACCAAAGGUUGCGGAACAAACAUGAGACUUUCGAGAAAUUUUGAGGAGUUCCCUACACUUAUUUCAGGUGGUGUUUUCUAUUUGUGAGAAUUUAACAUCUAAAUUUAUUUAAUUAAAAAGAAAAAAAAAAUUAAAUAUCAACUUUCCAUUUGCGAUAACACAGGUGCUAGAAACUCUUAAGAAUUUCUUGAGACUUUGAAAGGUUGAUUAAUGAUAAGGAGAGCACUUUAUUUUAACUGAAAAUAUGACUUUAACCCCUCAAACUCAAUUUCUUUCAUAUAAAACCCGACAUAACAUUUUUACUUGAAUAAAACCCAAUGACUAGACUUCACAUAAGCAAAUUCAUUAAUUAUGACAUUUUAAAAUUUUCGAAUGCCUAAAAUACCCCUUUUUGCAUGUUUAAUGUGCACAAUUAAACAUAUGCAGAUUUUAAGGAGGAUUAAUGAUUUUACAAAAAUAAAAUAAUAAAAAAGGCACAAAUAUUCUAAAUGCAUUGCAUGUUAUAUGAAUUUGGUUGAUUCAUGUUUCUCUCACUUCAUAAAAUUUGCUUCUAAUUUGAUAUAGGAAUUAAUUUGGAAAGUUUUCUUAAUCUUAAUAACAAUUUUCAAUUUAAAUAUAUUUUUUAAUGAAAUAGUCUAUCUUUUAAAAUAUUUAUCAAUAAAAUAAUGUACCUAUAUAUAUAUAUUUUUUUUUUGCCAACUAUAAAUUUUUACCAUAAUUUACCUAUAUAAUAAUGUACCUGUUAUUUAAUUUUUACAACACUAAUGUAUCUUAAAAAAUAAUUUACUUAUUGUUUAGUUUUAGCAAAAAUAAUUUACCUACUGUGUAUAAUUGGUGAAGCUAAUGAUGUACAUAUUGUUUAAUUUUUUAAAAAUUAAUGUAUGUACAAAAAUAAUUUAUCUAUUGUUCAAAUUUUAGGAUAAAAAUUUACAUGUUUUUAUUUAACAAUAAUGUAUCUACAAUUUUAUUUUUGUAUGAAUAUAAUUUACCUACUUUUUAAUUUUAUAUGAAACUAUUUUACCUACUGUGUCAGUAAUGUAUCUACAAUUUUACAUACAAUAUUUACCUUCUUUUUUUUUCACAACAAUAGUGUAUCUACAAUUUUGUUUUUGUAUGAAUAUAGUUUACCUACAAUUUAACUUUUCAAAAAAUGUAUCUUCUAUUUUAUAUUUUACUAUCAUAUAUAUGUUUCUGUGUUCGCAAAAUAAUUUAUCUAAAGUUAUAUAGUUAAGAGAUAUGCUAAUGAAUUAUAUUAAUUCAUUAUUAGACUGAUAUAAGAAAUUGUUAAAAACGUUAGCCAUAAUGGUUGGCUAAUAAUGGUUGUAUGAGAACAGUUAUAGAAAGUUGUGGCAUAAAUUGUAAAUAACUUAUAUUAAUAGGUUACUUAUUUUCUUAUGUGGUAAUUUAUUUAAAUUUUGGGUUUUGAUUGAAUGUUUAUUCAUAGGUGGGUUUUUAUCUGAAGUGUAUGAGUUGUAUGGGUCUAUAUCUAAACAACCCUUAUUUUAACCACCGUAUGUUACAUGAUGUGGCAUAUUACAUGUAAAUGUCAUUACAAUCUAGUGAUAUUCUUCUUCACUUCCAAGCGAGAAGUUUUAGAUUUAAUUCUCGUCAAAAACCAAUUUGAACCUUAUUAUUGUUAGUUCAUUAUGAAGUUUAAUCCAUUCUCAUAUUCUCUUAGUGUAGAUAAUAAUAUUUGUUUAAAAAGAAAAUGUCACAUCAUUAAAAUUAAUGAGGCAAUACUUUAAUAUGUAUUUUAUUUUAAAUUAACAUAAUUUAUUCCAACAAGUCUUGCUUCUAGUUUCAUCUCCAACCCCGUCGGCACCCACCCCCAUCCCCAUCGUAAUCGAUCUCCCCGGGGACUACUUACUUUGGUACCUUUUUCUCUUAUCACUAUGUUCCUUAUCACUUCCAUUUGUUACUCUCUCAUUAGAUAGUCUAGGUUUUAAAUUUGAAUAAAUAAUUGAAAAUGCCGUAGGAUUUUUAAGACUGAACACCAACCCAUGUGUCAUGAGGAAAUAACAUUAUGUCAAAUCGAGGGAUUGCAAGACAGAGAGUAGCCUGCAAGGGCUGACGCCGGCGACAGAGGGUAAGAGGAAGGCAGCUGACGGGUUGGUGGUUGGAACAAGGAUUUUCUCCUUUUUUUUUUUUUUUUCUCUCCUUUUGUUUGAACGCUCGUGAUUUCAUCUUGUAAAGAGAGAAAGAAAAAAAAAGUAAAGAGAGAAGAAAGAAAUAAAAACCUAUGAGAGAAGGGGAGGGAGGGGAGGGGAGGGAAAAAGAGAUGAGCGAGUUCCCAUCCGAUGGAUUGGCAAAGGUUGUUGGGAGACAUCAUAAAUUGUGGGAACGUUGGUGCUAGGCAAGGAAGAAAAUAUCGGUAAUAUCGGAAAUAUCGGUAGUCCGAAAAUACAGAAAUAUCGAUGGAAAUAUUGGGAUAAUAUCGAUAUCGAUAAAAAUUACAUGGAAACCACGGAAAUUGUAAGAAAAACUUGUAAAUUUUUAUUGAAACUUUGCAGGAUGUUUAUUUAGUCAAUUAUCUAUUAGUUUAUCACAAAAAAUUGGAAGGAAAUACAUUGCAUGAUGGAUUUAACAUUAUCAAGUUGAUUAUAUAGCGAGCUGACAAACAUUGUGAGUGUAGAAAAUAUGUAGUAAUUGUAAAAGUGGUCUGAAAAGAAUACAAAUUAUAAUUGUAAAAAUGGUCUGAAAUUGUCAAAAUAAUUGUAAAACUUGUCGGGAAUACUGAGUGAGUCAUGUGUCCUCCUGACAAGAGGAACCCACACACACACACACAACGCACGCAACCACACACGCACACAACACACGCACACAAACAUCACACACGCAAACACGACCUCAGUCUCUCUCUCUCUCGAUCCUUCUCGAUCUCUCUUCUCCCUUCUCCCACACACACACACACACAGAUCUCCGAUCUCUCUUCUCCCUUCUCCAAUCUCUCUUCUCCCUUCUCCCACACACACACACACACACACACACAGAUCUCUCGAUCUCUCUUUUCCCUUCUCCGAUCUCUCUUCUCUCUUCUCCCUUCUCCCACACACACACACACACACACACAGAGAUCUCUCGAUCUCUCUUCUCCCUUCUCCCACGCACACACACACACACAGAUCUCUCGAUCUCUCUUCUUCCUUCCCCUACACACACACCACGGCCUUUUGCUCCUCAGUCCGACAAUCUCGAAUCCCUCUUCCUUUUCAGAAACUAGCUUUCUAGGUGUCGCCGUCGUUGAUCGUGGCUCUGGCGAAGUCGGAGUUGGCUCAGUCGUCUGUGGCGGUGCGCCGUUGAGCAAGGAGUUGGCUCAGUCAUUUGGUUCAUCUUCGAAUCGAAGAAAACAAGUUUUCAGGUGAGAUUCCAUUGAAACCCUAAACCCUAAACCGACAUCACAUAUGUUGAAUCGUUUAUUACCUCUUGCAUGCUUGAAAUUUGAAGUUUAUAUGUGAAAUUGAAGUUAAAAAUCGUGUUUUUGCAAGGUUUUUGGGACGAAAUCGGCUCUGGAAUAGGCACACCAUCUCCGGCGUUCUUCUCCGACGUUCGGCUCGGAGUCCGAUUGCACCGUUCAAAAAAAUAUCGCGAUAUUUCCAAAAUAUCGCGAUAUUAUCGAUAAUAUCGCGAUAUUUUGACGAAAACCAUUCGGAUACCUAUUUAAAUAUCCAUUGCGCGAAAACCCGAUAAUAUCGGCGAUAUUUCGCCGAUAUUAUCGGCAUUUUCUUCCAUGGUGCUAGGGUUUUCCAUUUAGAAAUUGCGAUUAAAACAUUAAAACAAAUUUAAUCACAUAAAAAUGACUUGCCAUGCCACAUAGGUGAUUUAUAAUGGAGUGUGAUAUUCACACACAUUUUUUUACUUCUCUCACACCUUUUUGGUUUUCGAUUGUCAGACCGGAUGAAUUGAAGAAUAUCAACGGACAGAAAUUAACAAGAGGUGUGUGAGAAGUAAAAUGGGGUAUGUGGAUAGCACACUCCUUUAUAAUUAUGGUUUAAAAAGAUGAUAGCCCUGCUGCUUAGUAGUAAGGUCUAGAUUUAUUUCUCUUCACUUGUAAAUGAGAGGUUUUAGAGGCGAAUUUGAAUCUUAUUAUUGCUAGCCUAUUGUGAAACUUAGUCUACAACCUCCCCUUAGUGUAUAUAAUAUCUUUUGGUAAAAAAAUAUAUAAAGAAUUGUAGCCCUAGCAUUUUUAUCUUGAAAAAGGAACGCGGUCCUCUUUCAACUUGUAAUGAAGCACAUCUCUGUUUGUUCUUAUUUUUUUCUUUAAGCAAACUUAUUCAAGACAAUAACUAAUUGUGAGAUGUUUUAGUAUUAAAUACUUAUAAGUAUUGUAGCCAAUUUCACACUUUAUCUAGUCUAUUUCACUCCCAACGUUUCAACUACCUAAUUUCGUGCAAAAAAAAAAAAAAAAUAAAUAAAUAAACUCAAUAUAGUGAAAUAAUUUCCUCCACCCACCCUUAAAGUGAAUAUAUAUCGUUGCAUAAAAAAAAAUUGUAUACUUUCUUCUAUCCACCCCUUUAAGUAGAUAUGUCAUUGCAUCCAAAAAAAUAAUAUAGUAAAAUACUUGGCAUUGUAAUUAAAUUUAAGAUAAACGAGUACCUUCUUGAUUUGUUUGUAUUUAUCUUAUAAAUAAAUAUGACAAGUUGACAAAUACAAAAUAUAAAAACUUGAGAAUACAAUUACAAUGUAAUAAGGAAGUAGGAGGGCAUCUUACUUAUUCCAUGUUAAUGUAAUAUUUUAAGUUUAAACAUGCGAUCUUGGAGAAGUUGAAGUUUUGGACAAAAACAGCAACCAAUUGUCGAUCCACAUGAACAAAUUUUUGGCCUGGGGUACACAUAAAAAAUGAAUAGUCGUACUCCUAACCCUUCAUAGGGCAAGCUGCAUUGGUGAAUUGAAAGUUGUUGAAAAUGAGUUAAGAAUUAUUAAACUAGGUUAAUAUUUUAAUUCUAUCGUCAAAAGUGAAUUUGAACCAUAUUUUAAUUCUAUUGUUUUGACCGGAGCAAUUGGUAAAAUUUGAGUUUACAAACGUUUCAAGUUACAAAUUGGUCUCGACUUUUUGGAUUUCGGUUUUGGUUAGUGAAAACUGAAAUUUGAAAAAGAAAACUGAAGAGCAAUUAAAGAUACAUAUUUUGCAAUGCAUUGCAUGCAAAGUACAGCAAAGAAAAAAGGACUAACGCUCUCUACUGAGGACAGUUCAUCCUCUCUACACCUGCCUAAUUUGAUCAUCAUUUAGACCAUCCAAUCAGAGCCAAGAUUAUGGUAAAUAUGUCGCGAUUAAUCACGGCCCUGAAUAAUCUUUGCUUUUCCGGUGUGUAGGGUGGAUACCUCAAAUCGGAAUCUCCAGCGAAACCUCGAUAAAGAACUGCUUUCUUGUGGCUAAAACCAUCAAAGGAGAAUUUUCCGUGGUAUGAACCCAUUCCACUCUCCCCAACUCCUCCAAAUGGUAAACCGCCUAUGCUAACCUGCGCGCGUAUAUAAUGCAGUAAUAGUUUGUUACAUACAUGUUGAGAAUCAAUUCAAUUCUUUCCGACAGAAAAUCACGAGAAUGAUAAAAAUUCUACCAUUGAUUUUUAUUUCGGGAUGUUGAUGAUAAGGUCGUCAUUUUGGUUUGUUAAGAUGCAGAAAUGCGAAGAUGUAUAUAUAUGCAUAGAAAUUGAAGAGAACAAAGAAUCUCACAUGAAGGACGGUGUCAUUGAUGAGCAUUCCUCCAGAUGAUACGUUAUCCACGAAGCCCUUCUUCAGCUGCUCAUUGUUUGUAAAGGCAUAUACUGCAAGAGGCUUUGGCUUUGAAUUUAUCACGCUGAAACUGUCUUCAAUCUUCUCAACCUAUACGGAACAUAAUCAUAAGAUGCGAGAAUGAUUACAACGACUUGAGAACUACCCCAGAUUCCAGGCUUUUAAUGAUAUUGAAAGUAAUUUGAUUACUCACAGUGACGAUGGGCAUUAAUGGCCCAAAUAUCUCCUCCUGCAUAAUUUGAGCGUCUUCUGGAACAUCCAACAAGAUAGUUGGAGCUAUUUUUCUGCAUUGGAUCGGAUGAUGUAUAUGAGUAAAUCGUUUUAGAAACAUUGUACGCAUAUGGAUUUAUUCAGACAGUGUUGUUGCUUUCCUUAAAAGAUAUACAAUCACAAAAAGUCAUUGUUGUACUUACAAUUGCUUCUCAUCCAUUUGGCCACCGAGGACAAUCUUAUUAGAGACCUUAUCCUCAUCCAGCAGCUUCGCCAACCGUGUAAACUGGGUAGAGCUCACUAUCCGUGAUAUAUCCUUUGAGUUCAUUGGAUCUUUCCCAAAGAACUGCUCGAGUCCAUACUUUAGAGCUUCUAUCUGUCAAGUAGACAUACUUUCAGAAAAAUAUCCUGAAUUAAAAAAACAUAUAUAUUCAAGUAUAUCUGCUAGGCCAAACAUAUUUGUUCCUAAGUUUUUCAACAAGAGCAUCCCAUCGUACCAACUUCGGAGCAAAGUCUUUCGUAGUGAUAAUGUAAUCAACACCGAUGCAAGCUUGUCCAUUGUUCAAUGCCCAUUUGCCUGCCAUUAUCCUCCUAACAGCCACCUUUAAAUUUAUAAACAGAAACAGUUAAACCAGCCACACCAGAAUAUUUAUUAGAAACAUUGUCCAAUCGCUUUAAGAGAACCUAGCUAUUACUUCUAAGUUAACAUCUGAGUCGACAACAGCUGGGGACUUUCCACCGAGUUCCAGAAUUACAGGUGUAAGGUGUUUUGCAGCAGCAGCCAUCACAAUGCGCCCUACUCUUGCACUACCUGUACGAUGUGCAAAUACUUGGUCAAUUAUGUUGCUAGCUCCCUAGGAGUCAAAGAACACACGAAGCAGAGCAACUAUGUAAGAAAAAUGCGUAAUAUGUAUACAAAACCGUUCUCUUGAUAAACUUAUGUUUGUGUAUCUGAACCACACAUUUCCUUGAAGAAACUUAGAAUUAAACCGUUAAGACUAAAUACUUAAAUUUGUAUUAGAAAAAGAACUGAUGCAUCGUAGAUUUCACUGAUACACAAUUAAGUAUGAAUUAUGGACAAAUUCAUGUAUGAAUUAUGAACUCCUCUACCUCAAUAUAGAGAAUACAUCAGUUAGCAAUGCAAAGGCUAAUUGCACAGAAAAUGAAUUUUUGAAAAAAAGAAGAUUAUGCAUAGUGCAGAAACGUUGAUUAUAUGCAGGGGAAUGUGUUUACUUUGAGUAGUGUUGUACACGUACUACAAACGCAUUCAAGAGAGGCUCUCAUAGAAAUCUGAGGAAGUUCAUAAUUAGAGAGAAUAUAAAUUAACCUGUAUAGAGUAUCUUAUCCCACUUCUGCUCUAACAAUGCAGUUGUUUCUGGAACAGCGCCCUCAACAACUUUUAUAGCUGAGUUAUCUAAAUACUCCUCUACUAAAUUUGCAAGGAGUGAAGAUGUAGCUGGAGCAAUUUCUGAAGGUUUUAGCACAACCGCAUUGCCCGCUGAAAUAGCUCCAAUGACUGGAUCAAGAGAUAACACUGGAAUGUGAAACCGCACGUGUUACCAACAAAUAUAUCAGUCAUGGCAUGGUUUAGUUGGAAAGCUUCGACAAGGUGAGAAGUAUGUAACUUAUGUAUCGCCUAACUAGUUAAGUGUGAACUGCGCAGCAAUAUAUUAAACGUACAGAAGGGGAAGUUCCAUGUUGAGAUGACCAACACAACUCCUAGAGGUUCUGACACAAUUUCUGCUGAUGAUGGAUAUGUUGUGAUUGAAGUGCUGACCUGAAACAAACAUCGAAAGUUCCACGUUAUAUAUACUAUUAGCAUUAUACAUAUUGGAGGAUACGGUGGUCAGGAACAAGAAUGGACGAUGGGAAUUUUCAUCCUUGUAUCUGACCAAAAGGGUAUUUACUCUAAUCACCUUCUGUGGAACCAUCCAAUGCUUCAAUUCUUUCAAUGCCUCGUUACAUGACGAUCUUGCCUGAACAAUCUGUAGUAAUCAAACGUUAAUAUUUAUUUUUACAAUGCCGGAGAACAUACACAAGAACAUGUUCCAUAUUAACAAAGCAAAACCAUUAAAACUUGAGGAUACAACAGAAUAUUCACUAUAACAAACAAAGAUAUCAAGGGACUUUGCAAACAGAUCGAAUUCUGACCAAACAGAGUCAGAGUUUUAACCAUUGCAAUUUUCCCCGAAGGACUGCUUUCUGAUCGAUAACACUCCUUAUGAAACAUAUGGUUGCUCUGGUUGGUACUUUUGCUCUCAGGUAGAGGUAAUUUACGCCAGGAACCAUAUGUCUAUGAUGGUUAGCCUUAGUCCAGCAUACUGUUCAAUUUGCUCAAUUUGCAGCGCAAUAUCAAGAAAAUGGCAAGCUGAACUGGGGGUACAGGCGGCUCAAGUGGACGGAGAGAAUUUUUUGUGAUACCUAUGUGACUCAAGCGUCAGACGGUGCAACUAGGAGAAGGAAAUGGAUACCAAAAGGUAGUGAAGAAAAACAUGUCAAAUAGAAGAAGAAAGAAAAACCUGCGUAGAACAAGUAAGCCCAUGAAUGCUACCUAUCGAGUGAAUAGUGACCAUAUUUCAUGACAAGGUUGUCACUUGUCACCAGUGAAGCUCCAUGUACAUGCUUAUAGUACACAUUGCGCUCGCUUGUGUAGUUGGCAUACAACUGAAUUGGGGUAUCACACUGCAAAUACUAUUUCAGUUUUUGUUUUGCAGGUUGACAAUUGCAGUUAUCUUUAUGCACCAUUGUAUAAUAUGAACAAGCACUGAUAAUAUGCUAAUUAAGACUAUUCUGUAAGACCAAAAAAGGAAGCAGAAGUUAUGUAAUCAGCAUAAACCGAAGGUAAAGAGGGAGACCUCGGAUAUAAAUGCUUCGAUUUCAGGCUUUGAAAGGUCCUUGUAAAGAGCUUCAGUAAUCUCCUUCUCUUUUUCUUCAAGCAUCUUUGCAAUAUUCUCCAACUGUGACCUUCUCCACUCAUAGCUUUUCGUCCUUCCCGAAUUGAAACUCUUUCGCAGCUCCUUAACUAGAAGACCAGCUUUUU
rnacentral:lncRNA from 1 species